rnacentral:rRNA from 1 species
AACGAACGCUGGCGGCAGGCCUAACACAUGCAAGUCGAGCGCCCCGCAAGGGUAGCGGCAGACGGGUGAGUAACGCGUGGGAAUCUACCUAGUGGUACGGAAUAACCCCGGGAAACUUGGAGUAAUACCGUAUAAGCCCGAAAGGGGAAAGAUUUAUCGCCAUUAGAUGAGCCCGCGUUGGAUUGGCUAGUUGGUAGGGUAACGGCCUACCAAGGCGACGAUCCAUAGCUGGUCUGAGAGGAUGAUCAGCCACACUGGGACUGAGACACGGCCCAGACUCCUACGGGAGGCAGCAGUGGGGAAUAUUGGACAAUGGGCGCAAGCCUGAUCCAGCCAUGCCCCGUGAGUGACGAAGGUCUUUCGGAUUGUAAAGCUCUUUUUGGCGGGGACGAUAAUGACGGUACCCGCAG